UACGAAGGGUGCAAGCGUUACUCGGAAUUACUGGGCGUAAAGGGUGCGUAGGUGGUUCUUUAGGUCUGCUGUGAAAGCCCCGGGCUCAACCUGGGAAUGGCAGUGGAUACUGGAGAGCUAGAGUGCGGUAGAGGGUAGUGGAAUUCCCGGUGUAGCAGUGAAAUGCGUAGAGAUCGGGAGGAACACCAGUGGCGAAGGCGGCUACCUGGACCAGCACUGACACUGAAGCACGAAAGCGUGGGGAGCAAACAGG
rnacentral:rRNA from 1 species